rnacentral:rRNA from 1 species
UACAGAGGGGGCAAGCGUUGUUCGGAAUUACUGGGCGUAAAGGGCGCGUAGGCGGCCCGCUAAGUCGAACGUGAAAUCCCCGAGCUCAACUCGGGAACUGCGUCCGAUACUGGUGGGCUUGAAUCCGGGAGAGGGAUGCGGAAUUCCAGGUGUAGCGGUGAAAUGCGUAGAUAUCUGGAGGAACACCUGUGGCGAAGGCGCCUUGCUGGCCGAUUUCUGACGCUGAGGCGCGAAAGCGUGGGGAGCAAACAGG